UCUAAUAGUUUUUGUUGAUGGAUAUUUUUUGUUUGUUUGUUUCUUGUUUUUUGUUUGAGACGGAGUUUUGCUCUUGUUGCCUAGGCUGGAGUGCAAUAGCGCCAUAUUAGCUCACUGCAACCUCCACCUCCAGGUUCAAGCAAUUCUCCUGCCUCAGCCUUUCAAGCAGCUGGGAUUACAGGCACCCGCCACCACACCCAGCCAAUUGUUUGUAUGUUUAGUAGAGAUGGGGUUUCACUGUGUUGGCCAGACUGGUCUUGAACUCCUGACCUCAGAUGAUCCACCCACCUCGGCCUCUCAAAGUGCUGGGAUUACAGGUGUGAGCCACCAUGCCUGGCUGAUAUUUACUUUUUUAAACAUUUAAUUGUUAUUUUUGUAAAAAUAGAGAUGAGGUCUCACUGUAUUGCCCAGGCUGAUCUCCAAUUCCUGAGCUAGAGUGAUCCUCCAGCCUUGGCUUCCCAAAAUGCUGGAAUUACAGGUGUGAGCCACCACACCUGACCUGUUGAUGGAUAUUUAGUUUGCUUCCACCUUGUGACUAUUGUGAAUAAUGCUGCAGUGAACAUAGGUAUGGAAAUAUCUCUUCAAAAUCCUAUUUUUAAUUCUUUUAGUUAUAUACUUAGAAAUGGGAUUGCUGGAUCAUGCAGUAGUUUUAGUUUUAAUCCCCUACCUGUAUUUCCUGGAUUCAUCACCCAAAUAAACUAUAUGCUCCAAGCCUUUGUCUCGGUAUGUGCUUCUGGCAGGAACCUAAGCUUAAGCUUGUCACUUGCUUCAGGUUACUCAGUCAAUAAGUGGCUCUUCUGAAUAUCUAUUGCUGUAAAAUGAGCUGUCCCCAAAUCCAGUGGCUUAAAACAACACUUCGCAAUUACUUCUGCUUCUGUGAAUUGGCUGGGCUCAGCUGGGUGGCUUUCACUUGGGGUCUGCCAUGGCUGCAGUCAGGUGUUGGCUGGGGCUGGAGGGUCUGAAGGCUCGACUGGGCUGGAGGCCCACAGUGGCUCACUUGCACACUGGCCAUUGAUGGCAGGAAGCUCAGCUGAGGCAGUCUGCCAGAACUUCUGCAAGGGGUCUCUUCAUGUGGUGAGGGCUUCCUCACAACAUGGUGGCUGAGUUCUGAGCGUAGAGUCUCAAGAACAAACAUUCCAAGAGACAGGAACAGGCAACUGUUAAGGGCCUUGUCUUUAAAUGGCAGUGUCACUUGUGCCAUAUGCAUUUUAGAGCGGGGUGAAGAAAUGGACCCCCUGGUGGGAUGGGGCAAGGCCAUGCUGCAGAAGAGCAUGUGGGAAGGGAGAGAUUUUUGUGGCCAUCUUUGGAAGACACAGUUGGCCAUAGUGACAGAGGCAGUAUUCAGACCCAGGCAGUCUGACUUGAGAAGCUGAUUGCAACCUCUAUGCUGCCUCCACUUGAGAACACAUUCUGAGAAUUCUUGACGUUUCUAAGGGACUGGAGAGCCAGCAAUAAUGGCAAACCUAAGAAAUGCUAUUUUUGUUUAUUAUGACCUCUUUUUAAUGUCCAGACUGAUGUGGCUGGGUGAAUUACAGGUCUCAAGCAGAUUCCAAAAUGUAGAGACAGUAACCUUGAUGUUGACUUUUGGAAAAUUAUAGAGCAGAGCGUGACAUAAACUCAUUUGUGAACAGCAGGGAAAAAAAAUGCAGUGAUGGUGAGGUGGGAGAGUUUGGUGGGGAUGAGCUGUGCCCAGCUGUGGUGGGUGGCAUAAUGGCCCCCUAGAGAUAUCAGGUCCUAACCCUUGGAGCCUAUAAAUGUUACCCUGUAAGAAAAAUGGGUCUUUGCAGAAGUGAGUAAGAAUCUUGAGAUAAGAGAUUAUCCUGGACUCUCCUGUGGGCCCUAAAUGCCAUCACAAGUGUCCAUAUAAGACAGAGUUAGACUUGACUCACACUCAGAGAAGAAAGCCAUGUGAAGACAGAGAAGAGAAGGAUUUGAAGACACUGGAUGUGAGAAUUAGAGUGAUGUGGCCAUAAGCCAAGGAAUGCUGUAGCUCCCAGAAGCUGGAAGAGGCAAGGAACAGUUUCUCUCCUAAAGCCUCCAGAGGGAGCACAGCCCCACUGAUGGAUUGAUUUCAGUUUGGUGGCACUGAUUUCAGACUUCUGGUCUCCAGGACUGUGAGGUAAUAAAUUUCUGUUGUUUUAAGACCAAAAGUUCAUGGUAAUUAUAGCAACCACAGGCAACGAAUACACAAACCAACUUUCUUUUUAGACAGUACUGGAUAAUGGGGUAAAUAAAUUUGUGUCCAGCCAGCAUUUUAUGUUACUGUUUUUUUUUGUUUUUUGUUUUUUGUUUUUUUGUGAGACAGGGUCUUGCUAUGUUGUUUAUGCCAAUCUCGAACACCUGGGCCCCAGUGAUCCAGUCUCAGCCUCCUGAGUAGCUGGGACUACAGGCAUAGGCCACCACCCCCAGCCGGCAUUUUAAUAAAGGAUUGGCAAACUCACUGGUAAUGACGGUGUUUUUUGGUGGGAUUUAUGGCAGAUUGCACGUCUAUCAGCAAAGUGUUUGCCAUCAAGGAGUCCGUUGCCCUGGUGGUCAUGGAGUACCAAAGGGCUCUGUGGUGAGCUCUGCCCUAGCCAAUCAACGUUCAGUCCACUUUCUGGAUGAAGAUGGCAGAAAGUACAGGGUCAGAUGUGCAGGUGACACAUAUUGGAGGGAACAGUGAAAGUGACAGCCAAAUGGGAGAUGAAAGUGAUUUCGAUAGAUUGGAACUUUGGAGUAAGGCCAAGAUCAAUUGAUAUCAGAGAAAGUUAGGUUUUAAAGAGAAAUCUGGUGUCCAAGCAUAGAACCAGUUGAGGAGGUCUGGGCGGUCUGGGCGGUGUGUGUGAAAAGAAGCUCAGGGUUUCAGUCGCCACCAGCGUGGUGCUGUUUUUGUAAGGGGAACCUAAUUUGGGGCACUAUGGGACGAUAGUGUCCAGUUCAUAGAAGCAGAUGGUCCCAGGGUGAUCACGGCUGGUUGAAGCAUACUGAACUACUUUGCUUCAUUUUUAAUACCCCUCCCCUUUUUGAAAAUGUGUAGCAGGACAAUAUGGGAUCAGGAAACCAAGUGUUCUGACUCUGCAUUGUCUGCCCCUCCGUGUUCAUUCUCUGACCUCCUCUACUCUGACCCCAGGAGGCUGACCUCUCUGGACGAAUAUUAGCUAGCUAAUGCUGUGGAACAAAUCAUCCCGUGGAACAAAACAUAGUGGCCUAAAGCAACAAUAAUCAUUUAAUGUCUCACAGUUUCUGUGGGUUGGGAAUCCAGGAGUGGCUUCUGACUCAUGAGGUUGGCAUCAAGAUGCAGCUGGGUUUGUAGUCACCUGAAGGCGUGGCUGGGGCUGGAGAUGGCUUCCCACCACGGAUGAUGAGUUCGUGUGGCUGUUGGCAGGAGGCCUCAGUUUUUCACCUUCUGGACGCCUGCACAGGGCUGCUUAAGCAGCCUCACAACAUGGCAGCUGACUCUCGCCAUCGUGAGUGAUUCAAGAGAGAGCAAGAUGGAAGCCGCAAUAUCUAUGAUGACCUGGUCACAGUCUGUCAUUUCCACAACUGGUAACACAGGUCAGCCCUAUUUAAUGUGGGAGGGGACUACAUGAGGGCAGGAUUGCCAGGAGGUGGGGUGCAUCUGGAAGGCUGGCUGCCACAGGAACAGUGGGAGGGGAUGUGCUGUGGCCAGAAGAAAAUCAGGACAGACCAGAGCUGGAGGGUAUGAUCUGCCCCAACUCAGGUUGGCCAAGUUCAAGCCCCAGUUCCGGGAUGGAGAGCUCCAUGCCUUGGCCCUGCCAGUGGGACUUCUGCAUGUGCUGGGAGAGAAGAAAGGUUUCCUUUGAGCCCUGCCAGGAUCUUGUUACAGUCUCCACAGAGCAAGACUUCAGGGUCAGGGUGUUGCAUUAUGAAGACAGGAGCCGUGGAGCCUCCAGCAGGAGACAAUGGCUUCCAUUGAGAUAAUAUGACUUAACGAGGCCACAAGUCCACAGCCACCACUCAGGAAACAAUAACCAUUUCAAGAGGGCACAGGAGGUGUUACAGAGAGGCGUGGUGACACACCCCACCCACCGUGGCCUCAGAGAUGGUGCUAAGGGAGAAAGUUUGCUGGGAUUUGUCUGAAAAGGUCAGUUAUUAAAAACAGCUUCUGGCUGGGCGCGCUGGCUCACACCUAUAAUCCUACCAGUUUGGGAGGCCGAGGUGGGCGGAUCACUUGUGGCCAGGAGUUCAAGACAACGCUGGCCAACAUGGUGAAACCCUGUUUCUAAUAAAAAUACAAAAAUUAGCUGGGUGCGGUGGCAUGUGCCUGUAAUCCCAGCUACUCAGGAGGCUGAGGCAGGAGAAUCGCUUGAAUCCGGGAGGCAGAGGUUGCGGUGAGCCAAGAUCAUACCACUGCACUCCAGCCUGGGUGACAGGGCAAGACUCUGUCUCUAAAUAAAUAAAUAAAUAAAACAGCCUCUUAAAAACACAGCGGCUUCUGACCUUCAUGCACUUUGUUAUUGCUCAGGCCAGGGUGGUGCUUUCCUGAUUCCUUUUCCGAGUUUAUGAAGGCACCGUUACUGCUUAGCAUCAGGUGAGAAGAGAGGGGUACAUUAGGAAUUAGAAGAAGAAGGUUUGAGCAUGACUUGUUUGAAACAGUCAUGUGGGUCUCUCUCUGUUUCCCUGAUGUCUGUCUUUGAGAUCUUGUAUCCAGCAGAGCGCUGGCUGACAUCCUGUCCCAGGAGCAGAGAGUGCUAUGUGUGGGUCCAGCCAUUUGUCUGCUGGCAGGGGACUGGGGAUGGGCUUGGGCCUUGCAGUUGAGCAGAAUCCCACCCUCCACCACUGGGCCCUGGGGCUGGGCUUCUUGGUGUCAUACCUGGAAUUAGUAUCAGUGAAGUACUACUCUGCCACGAUGUCUCACAGCCAGGACGCGGAGAGCACAGAAAAAUCCCCAAAGAAGGACCUCCCUUGGAAGAUACUUGCCAACUACCAGGUCCCCCAAGACAGAAGGCACACGUGGGUAGACCUGGGUGUUCCUGAUGGGAGUGCCCAGAAAAGAACCUCUCUUGGAAAGAAGGACCCUGCUGAACCAGGGCUUACAGAUCAUAGUUCCAUGUGGAAGGCCCUCUGGAAUAUUUGUGAAGGCCAUUGGGGAGGACAGGCUGGAAUUUCCACCUGAGCUUAGCCACUUACAGAUGGUAUGACCUUUGUGAGUUAAUGCGUGUCUUCGUGGAAUGGCUGUCUGGCAUUCUGUGGCCUUCCGGUGCAUCUUUCCCCUUCCAGCAGCCCUCCAAUUUUCUUUUGGGGAACUAUUUGUCCUCUCCCUGGCUUGAACGUCAUCAAGGAGGUUGCUGGAGGGGAUGUCUGUGGGAGAUGCAAUUGACUCAAAGCCAACACAAGCUUGCUCCAUACCUUUAUUUACCUGAAUGUCUGGGGUCUGGAACAGCUCUGAGUGAGUAGAAUUUCCUGUAAGUGAAAUCAUAUUUUAAUUGCAGGGGGACAUUUGCUUUUUAAAGGGA
rnacentral:lncRNA from 1 species